UACGUAGGGUGCAAGCGUUGUCCGGAAUUAUUGGGCGUAAAGAGCUCGUAGGCGGUCUGUCACGUCGGCUGUGAAAACCUGGGGCUCAACUCCGGGCCUGCAGCCGAUACGGGCAGACUAGAGUUCGGCAGGGGAGACUGGAAUUCCUGGUGUAGCGGUGAAAUGCGCAGAUAUCAGGAGGAACACCGGUGGCGAAGGCGGGUCUCUGGGCCGAAACUGACGCUGAGGAGCGAAAGCGUGGGGAGCGAACAGG
rnacentral:rRNA from 1 species